rnacentral:misc_RNA from 1 species
UACGUACUGGGCGAACGUUAUUCGGAAUCACUGGGCUUAAAGGGUGCGUAUGCGGCCACUUAAGUAGGGUGUGAAAUCCCCCGGCUUAACCGGGGAACUGCGCUCUAAACUGGGGGGCUUGAGUGCGAUAGGGGUGUGCGGAACUUCCAGUGGAGCGGUGAAAUGUUUUGAUAUUGGAAGGAACACCAGAGGCGAAAGCGGCAUGCUGGGGCUAUUCUGACGCGGAGGCACGAAAGCCAGGGGAGCGAACGGG